GAAUAGAUCAGAAGGAGUAAUAUGGAUUAGGCACCAAUAUGUCCUAAUUGUGAAAUUGUUUAUGCAACACUCCAAUUAUAUUAUAGCACGACGGAAGAGAAACCCUAGAUUAGUAGUUGCCACCGUCCUCGAUCUCGCGCGAGCUUCCUUCGAAACUCUCUCUAGGGUUUAGGGUUUCAGAUAUUCGUAUUGGAUUGAGAUGCCAAGGCCGGGGAUCCGGGCUCCGCCGGAUAUCUCCGACGGCGACUCCGAGGGUCGCUAGCGUGCGGUUUCCUUUCGUGAGUCGAAAUCCGUGUAGCAUUCCUUCCCUUCUUCUUCUUUCUCGAUGCUUUUCUCGAGUUUCUACUUGAUUUGUUCUUUGUUUAUGGCUUUUCGCGAAGAUCUCGGCGAAAGCAUUGUAGCUUCGGCCUUCGUGUUCCGUCGAGCGAUGGAAUUCCCUCGCUUUUGCUCGAUAUCCAUGAAGUCUACUCUUUUUUCUUUUCCUUGCCUCCUAUUAUUAUUAGUGUGCUUAAUUUUUUGGAACGGUUUGUUGGCUAAAAGAUAACUAUCAAUGUGUUUAAUUUUUUCGAAUGGUUUGUUAGUUAAAAGAUCAUAACUAAUUGCAAAUAUUUGGGCUUUGAAGCAGUUGGUUUGAAUGCGCUGAAUCUGAAAGAUGGAUUUUGAAAUAGUUCGGUUUUUUGGAAAUCAUGUAUCCUGAAGGCGUAUAUUUUGUCUCGGAGGUUACUGGUCACAUCCUUCGGAAAAAUUAAAAAACAAGACUAGUCUAUUGUCAGAACAAUAAGUGGCAAACAAUGGCACAAACUUUUGCAUGCUGAAAAUUCUUGCAGGAAAAAAUGUUACAUAGGAAAAAAUUUUGAAUGUUUUCUUUAGUUUAUUCCUUUGGUCUCUUUCUUCGUUCGUUAGUCUGUGGUUUGGGACGUGGUGGUGGGGUCCUAUUGAGGAUGGGAACCAUUAGAUCAGCUAUUUCGCAAUCAAUGCUUAGUACAAGAGUUGCUCUGUUGCUUGUAUUUUGUUUGUUUGUCCUUUUCAUUUGUUGUUCAUCUUAAUGUUCAAUUGGCAGCCGGUGUCGCACCGGAGCGUGAAGGAUGACAAUCUUAUGCUUCCUGAUAUUGGUAAGAUACAGCUCUUAGUUGCUGAUCCAGUUUCCUUUGACUGUAAUUGGAGACUGUCAUAUCUCGGCCUGAUGAAUCUACAACAGCGGGAUAAUUUGAAAUCUAUAUACUGAAUUUACUCAAUAAAGGCUGCAUUUUUUACCAAAGUUGGCUGUGGAAAAGCUGAAGGUGAAAGUGGGUGCUGGAGAAUGAACAGAUGGGAAGACAAGGGCACGUCAUACCUACUGACACAAAAUGCACAGCAUUCAAAUGCAAGGCUUAUCGACAGCUGCCUUUUAAGCAAGAUGCUAGCUGAGUGAGUGGCCAUACGUCAGAAGUCAAGAAAGCAUCAACGUGCAUAGGUGCGGUAUUGUUACAAUAGCAGUUAGAUGCUGAUUUGGUCUGCCUAGUUGCCAUCGGAAUUCUUCCCAUUAAAGUUGAAAUAACCUGCACCAAAGCACUUCAAUUUGACACCCAGCUCAAUAAGACUGAUCUAUGCUGGACGGACAUAAGCCAUCUCUUGUUCCUGAUAUGGCUUGCCUGCUUCAUUGCACCGCACAGUUUGGGUUCAUCAGCUUAAUCAUUUUGUUGUUGGGUUCUUUUUGCCCCUGAUCAAGUGGCUCAGUUGUAAGGUCGAUAUCAUGAGGUCCCACGCUGUAGGGAUUGCAUUUUAGGAUGUCAUAAGAAGUCUAUAUUCCUUUUUGUUAAGUUUCCAUCAUGCAGGUUUUUUUUUACUCAGGAGCUGGAAAUAUUUUGGAAGUAUGGACUGGUAUCGUUCUCUACUUUUGCCGAACAGGGUUGGAAGUUUCUUUCUGUUUCCUUUUAUUGUGCUCUCUUGAUUCAUUCAAGAACUUGUAAGGCUACGUUUUCACAAUCAAAAUUGACGUGAAUUAUACUGUGAUCUCACCAUUCAAUGUUGAACGAUUUCUCCAAGACAUCCUGGACAUUUGUAGGUUCUUAUUAUUAUGUUAUUGUGAAUAGUCAAUAGCCGCCAAGGAAGACAAAGCUAUGUUUUUUGGAUUGGGUUGCUGAUGCUGCGGCACCAUGAUCCUGAUGUGGUGCCUGCUAAUCGGGUGGUGGUUGUGAAGUUCUGUUGUUUGUUUUAUUGCUGUUGAUUGCAUCUGCAUUCUAGAAAGAAGUGUACCUGCUGGGGCCCAUGUUCGUUUGCGUGUGAAAGAUUGCAGGAUGGUGCGGGUGUUGGCUCAAGUAAUACCCAUUUUGGUUGCUUGUGUGGCUAUGCUAUGUCGGUAUGUUGGGAGCGCGACGGACUCCGGGUUAUUGUCAACCUGCAACUGGAUCUUAAAAAGCAUUGUGAGGUCGGGGAAAACGGAUGUCAACUACGGAAUAAAUGAGGAUUCGUAGGAGGAUGGGAUUCUGGAGCCCCCUGGAGAGAAUGUUCGGGAGAUAAAUUGGUUGGUAAAAAUAGCUGUAGGUGAGAAAAAGGUACAGCGUUGUGAAUGGCUCGCUGGGAAGAUUUGCUAGCUUAUAGUAGCUCGACUAGGUCCUGUUUGGCUCGCCAGCAAUGAUUACUUGUUGCAUGAAUGCCAUUCUUAUAUUUCUCUUGUUUGAUUAUUUUAUUCACUCGUGGGCGAUGUAACUAUUAUUUGGUGGUCGACAGCAUGAAGUCAUGCGUCCUGGAAGUCUGAUGUCAGAUGUCUUAACAAUUGUGACCUUGUCAUGUAUGUUAUUGAAGCUUAUAUAGCUAAUAUGGAUA